CUUUGAUUCUUCCAUAGUUCAGUCAUCCUUGCUAUCUUGCGGGGGAUUGGUUCUAGGAUACCGCCCCCACACCAUACCAGAAUCUGUGGAUGCUCAAUCCCUUACAUAUAAUGGUGUAAUAUUUGCUUAUAACCAACACGCAUCCCCCCUAUACUUUAUUUACUUAGCGACAGGAUUGCCCUCUGUUGCUUACGCUGGAGUGCAGUGUCAUCCUCUGUUACUCAGGAUGGAGUGCGGUGUCACGAUCACAGCUCACUGUAGCCUCAACCUCCUGGGCUCCAGUGAUCCGCCCACCUCAGCCUCUUGAGUAGCUGAGACUACAGGUGCAUACUACCACACCUGGCUAUUUUUUUUUUAAUUUUUAAUAAAGACAAGGUCUCACUAUGCUGCCCAGGUUGGCCUCCCAAUGUGUUGGGAUUACAAGUGUGAGCCACCAUGCCUGGCCCCAUGUAAUUU
rnacentral:lncRNA from 1 species